rnacentral:lncRNA from 1 species
GGGGACUGCCACGACCACGAGCGCUGGCCGGAGCCCUGUAGUGGUGGUCGACCCUCCCCAAACAAAGCAGCAUGUGCUUGCCGCUGCGGCUGGGGAGUGGUGGCAGCAGACACUCAGUUGGCCAAGGAGCUGGUGUGCGUGGAGCAGGCCGGGUAGAGCGCGUUGCCACCGCGGGUGCGCGAGGGGGUUCUGCGUCCCGGUAGGGCGGCCGCGGAGGGGGCGCAAGAGACCAAGGGGCUCGCGAGCGCGCGCCAGGCGGAACCAGGAAGCCGGGCGCGCUCGGGGCUGCGGGCGGCGCGCGUCCCCGGGCCUCCGCGCGAGAGAGGCGCGCGCGCCCCCGUGGGCCCCGGCGGGAGAAGAGUCGGCGGCCGGAGCCGUCACCCCGGGCUGGGACCGUGCGCAGGCGACGACGCGCGGCGGCCCGGCCGAGGGAGGGAGCGAGCGAGCGGGCGGGCGGGCGAGCGGGCGAGCGAGAGCGUGGAGCCGGAGUAGCCGCUGGCGCCCGAGGGGCCGAGCGAGGACAGUGUCACUGGGCUAAGCCUGAAUGUCCAAUUGGGAAGGCAAGAACUUGAAUCUUCUCCCAACUCUCUUCAAGGUUUAGCAGCCUUGGAAGGGAACCUUAACAAUUAACAGAAAAAACAGGACUCCUGCUCUGAUUCCAGGUACCAGAAAAUUUUAUAGCACUAAGAUAGAGAAGAAACAUGUUAUAUGCUU